CAGACAGGGUUGGCGUAGCUGUUAACAAACCUCCUAACCAUUCAGACAGGGUUGGUGUAGCUGUUAACAAGCCUCCUAACCAUUCGUACAGGGUUGGCGUAGCUGUUAACAAGCCUCCUAACCGUUCAGACAGGGUUGGCGUAGCUGUUAACAAGCCUCCUAACCAUUCAGACAGGGUUGGCAUAGCUGUUAACCAGCCUCCUAACCAUUCAGACAGGGUUGGUGGUUGGUGUGCAGCUGAGUCUUAUUUACAGCCAGGCUGCUAAACAGCCCCGAGGGAGAGGGGAUGAGCCCUGAUGACAUGCAAGGAGAUUGCGCUCAGAGAAAGGGACCGUCUUAACAAGCCAGAGAGGAUGAAUAAAAAAGGAAAGCAGAGGGUUCUCUCUCAGCUCUUUUGUCCACCGAUGCAGAAAAAAGCCUUGAGCUGAAAAAGUGAUUAAGGACCACCAACAAUUAAAGGCUGCGGCUGCAGAAGACUUACAGCUCAUUGCAGAAGGUCCUUGUGGCCUUCAGGAGGAGGGUGUUGUUGCCUGCUUUACAGGCACUUUGCCCUGGUCUCUGCAGCCAUGCAGGAUGCAGCUCGGAUCCUCCAGUCAGGUGAGUCUAGACUAGAUGAUGCCCUCUGUGACCAUUCAACCCUGCCAUGAGGCUGCCGUGCACCUCCACACCUUAGUGGCCCGUUUGUGCACGCUGGUUAGAGCAGUAUUGGCGGCCUCAGUGUCAUGCCCAAAUAAUAAAGGCCUCAAUAUGGCCUCGUCUACCCCCAAUUAAUGUGAUAGCAUAGUUAUGCUUAAUUUGAAAGCAUUGAUUUAGUACCACUCUCUUUACUCUGACCAAUGUUUUGAUGGGAAAUUAUGUGGUUUAAUGCAUUUCUGUCGGAAGGCAAAGCCUGCCUGGUAGCUGUGGGCUGCAGCUUGUCUGUUCAAUGCUUUGGAGACUGACAGAAAGACUGCUUUACAGCUAACAUGCACCCAAAUUCAUACAUCACUAUAGCACCACAGGCAGAGCAGAGCAGCCCGUAUACAAGCAGAAUACUUCCUGCUCAAAACAGUGCACUGAAUAAAGUAUCUAGAGCAAGGCCUCUCAUUUGUGCUGCAGUAUAGCAUAUGUGUAAAAGAAACCUCUCCAACAGAGUUGUCUGUCUGAUUCAACCUCUCCAAGCAGGAAGUGUGUUUUUGUUCCAUACGGACUCAAACUGUUGACUUUGAUAUCUCCCAGCACAAAGUAAUCUUUAAAUCAAAGCCCCGCGGGUAGGUAGAUGAAGGCUCUGCCGUGUCAACACAUUUAGGAUGUCUGUGGAGUGAGAUUAUCCAGUUUGUGAUGAUUUGAACGCUCGUCAAUGUCUGCAAAUUAAAGGUUAUUUUAAGCUCCAGAUUAGCAUUUUUCCGCACCUCAUUAGGUAAGGAGAUGAGUUGAUCAGAUGACUGGGAGAAUCAGAGAAUCCCACUUAGUCACUGUGAAGUAAGCCUCCUUGUACUAGACUGCACUAUCUACCUUAAUUCUUUAGAAACAAACACACAACCUGUUACAAUGGACCGUUUCACUCUCUCUCCUGACGAUAGACAUUUGUUAAUAAACAGUCACAUACCCAGUUGUUUCUGUGCUGGAAAAUGCAACCAAGCCUAACUGAUGAUAUUAGUCUAAGCAGGCCAACAACAGCAAAUGCGUCUCUUCAUUUGAAUGAGUUUCCCUCUGCAAAUUCAACAACAUUUUGUUCAGGCCUGUAAUUGUCUUUAUUUCCGUGCAGAAGCAUCAGGUGAGUGAGAGAGUGAGUGUGGGUAAUAAGGCUCUCGUUGAUAAACUGUAAAGCUACAGUAAUGCAGCCUGGCUGGUGUACGUCUGAGAGGGCACCACACGUUUCCUCCCAGCAUUACUGCGCACAGCUAAUUCAUUUGUCAGGAUAAGGCAAGUGAAAAUGUGUGCUCUAAUUUGAGGCACUUAAUUUAAACGGCCGUGAAAGCAAACUUUGGUAGAUAUUAGGAAAACAAACUAAUUAAUGUCUUGGGGGAGCGGCAGGUUAAGACCUUGAAGGAAAUGUUAUCCUGGGGGUAAAUAUUUGAACUGCCCUCUGCCAGGGCAGACUGGGAUAAAAAUUCAGCCCUGGCAUUUCAGCCUCACUGCGCGCG
rnacentral:lncRNA from 1 species